rnacentral:rRNA from 1 species
GCAUAUCAAUAAGCGGAGGAAAAGAAACCAACAGGGAUUGCCCUAGUAACGGCGAGUGAAGCGGCAACAGCUCAAAUUUGAAAUCUGGCGCAAGCCCGAGUUGUAAUUUGUAGAGGAUGCUUCUGGGCAGCGGCCGGUCUAAGUCCCUUGGAACAGGGCGUCAUAGAGGGUGAGAAUCCCGUAUGCGACCGGUUGGCACCCGUCACGUAGCUCCUUCGACGAGUCGAGUUGUUUGGGAAUGCAGCUCUAAAUGGGAGGUAAAUUCCUUCUAAAGCUAAAUACCGGCCAGUGACCGAUAGCGCACAAGUAGAGUGAUCGAAAGAUGAAAAGCACUUUGGAAAGAGAGUUAAAAAGCACGUGAAAUUGUUGAAAGGGAAGCGCAUGCAACCAGACUUGUCGGCGGUGUUCCGCCGGUCUUCUGACCGGUCUACUCAUCGUCGGCAGGCCAGCAUCAUCUGGGUGCGCCGGAUAAAGGCGUGGGGAAUGUGGCCCCUCGGGGUGUUAUAGCUCCACGCACAAUACGGCGCCGCCCGGGUGAGGUCCGCGCUUCGGCUAGGAUGCUGGCGUAAUGGUUGCCUGCGACCCGUCUUGAAACACGGACCAAGGAGUCUAACAUCUAUGCGAGUGUUCGGGUGUCAAACCCCUACGCGGAAUGAAAGUGAACGGAGGUGGGAACCUUCGGGUGCACCAUCGACCGAUCCUGAUGUCCUCGGAUGGAUUUGAGUAAGAGCAUAGCUGUUGGGACCCGAAAGAUGGUGAACUAUGCCUGAAUAGGGUGAAGCCAGAGGAAACUCUGGUGGAGGCUCGCAGCGGUUCUGACGUGCAAAUCGAUCGUCAAAUUUGGGUAUAGGGGCGAAAGACUAAUCGAACCAUCUAGUAGCUGGUUCCUGCCGA